GGCAGCAGCUAAGAAUAUUCCGCAAUGGACGAAAGUCUGACGGAGCGACGCCGCGUGGAUGAUGAAGGCCGGAAGGUUGUAAAAUCCUUUUAUGACUGAGGAAUAAGUUCUCUGAGAGAAACGGAGGAUGGUGACUGUAGGUCAUGAAUAAGCAACGGCUAAUUACGUGCCAGCAGCCGCGGUAACACGUAAGUUGCGAGCGUUGUUCGGAAUUAUUGGGCGUAAAGGGUAUGUAGGCGGUUCUGCAAGUCUGGUGUGAAAUGCCGGGGCUCAACCCCGGAACUGCGUUGGAAACUGCAGGACUUGAAUCGCUGAGGGGCAGCCAGAAUUCCAGGUGUAGGGGUGAAAUCUGUAGAUAUCUGGAAGAAUACCAAUGGCGAAGGCAGGCUGCCAGCAGAUGAUUGACGCUGAGGUACGAAGGUGCGGGGAGCAAACAGGAUUAGAUACCCUGGUAGUCCGCACAGUCAACUAUGUACACUGGGUGUCCGCGCAUGAGAGUGGGUGCCGAAGCAAACGCGAUAAGUGUACCGCCUGGGGAGUAUGCCCGCAAGGGUGAAACUCAAAGGAAUUGACGG
rnacentral:rRNA from 1 species